UCUUGAGUAUAGUUUCGGAACGCGGAAAGAGAAGAAAAAGGCUGCAAAGAAAUAGGCUAAGAAAUAGGCUGCAAAAUAUAUAGCAAAUGUAUCGAAAUAGAUAACAAAAUAUAUUAUAAAUAUUUAAUUUUUUGCGUGAAUUUUUAGAUUUUUUAAAUAUCUAUAUCUAUACUUAUAUUUUAAGUAACUAUAAUGUAAUAAAUUGUUUUGUACUUUUAGGCAUAUGUUAAAAGAGCUUUUAAGGUUAAAAAAUUUUAUUAAUUUAACAGAAACAGUUACAAUAAAUAUAUGACAAAUAUAUGUGCAUGCAUUGCAUUGCACAGCAUGCAUUGUAUAUAACAAUUACAUUGUUGACGGAAAUAAAACAUUAAGGUUAUAUUAUUGUCACUUAGUGUUUAUUGGGUAGGAUAUGUUAAAUAUAACAAUUGUAAGUAAUGUAUAUAAAUAUAGUUUUAAAAAAGUUACACGGAUCUCGAAAAAAUUGCAAACAAUCAGAUGAAUGAUACCAAAAGUAUGCUUAAAACGAAUAGAUCUCAAUACCACUUCAAGUUCUAUCGAAAAAGAUAACAAAGAUAUUGAUACUAAUUUGUCAAGAAAUGGAGUUCUAUAUGAAUCUAAAAAAAAAGCAACCAGCAAGAUGUUCAAUCAGGUAUCUCCGAAACCAAUUUUUGUAAUACAUUUUUUGAAUUGCUGAUUGACAAAGCAGAUGACAAUACAGAUUUAAAUAUUCAUUUUCCUGUAAACGAGAUUUUGGACACAUCUUUAAAUACUUUAAUAGUAGAAAUAAAUGACCAAGAUAAUGAAACGACAGAAAUAAUAAAUAACUCAGAUGGGUACCAAGUCGUAUAGCAACAGACGGUGUUUUAAUUUUAUUAGUAUCAGGAUCAAAUUGAGCCACAUCUUUAGUAGCUAAAAUGCAUGAGUCAUAAUGGCGUGCUUGAUAUAUUGAGGCAAAAUCAGUGAUAUUUGAAUUAAAUUUCCUAAUAGAAAUUAAGUAACGACCUAAAAGUCUUAAUUCUGCUCUUAUCAUAUCAUGAUGACGCUGAUUCCUAAAUUUUUUACAUAAUUUAUUUGCGCGAAGUAUCACUAAUUCAUCAUAUCUUAUUAUUUUACACACGUUGUCAUCUCUUAAAAUUGGGAAGAUUACUUUUUUAACCAUAUCACUGGCUUUAUUAUGUAUUCUUUAAGU